GACGAACGCUGGCGGCGUGCCUAAUACAUGCAAGUUGAGCGCUGAAGGUUGGUACUUGUACCGACUGGAUGAGCAGCGAACGGGUGAGUAACGCGUGGGGAAUCUGCCUUUGAGCGGGGGACAACAUUUGGAAACGAAUGCUAAUACCGCAUAAAAACUUUAAACACAAGUUUUAAGUUUGAAAGAUGCAAUUGCAUCACUCAAAGAUGAUCCCGCGUUGUAUUAGCUAGUUGGUGAGGUAAAGGCUCACCAAGGCGAUGAUACAUAGCCGACCUGAGAGGGUGAUCGGCCACAUUGGGACUGAGACACGGCCCAAACUCCUACGGGAGGCAGCAGUAGGGAAUCUUCGGCAAUGGGCGAAAGUCUGACCGAGCAACGCCGCGUGAGUGAAGAAGGUUUUCGGAUCGUAAAACUCUGUUGGUAGAGAAGAACGUUGGUGAGAGUGGAAAGCUCAUCAAGUGACGGUAACUACCCAGAAAGGGACGGCUAACUACGUG
rnacentral:rRNA from 1 species